GAUUUCUGACGAAACUGCUAGCUGGCCCGUCACGUCAGUGAUGUGUGCCGGCUUGGCGUUUGUCAUCCGUUCGAAUGAUAUGCGCGCUGCCCUUCACUGGGUUGGUGCUGCAUGUUUUCGAUCUUUUACUUUGAAAAAAUUAGAGUGUUUCAAGCAGGCGACUCGCUGUGAAUACAUUAGCAUGGAAUAAUAACUUAGGACUUCGGUUCUAUUUUGUUGGUUUCUAGGACUGAAGUAAUGAUUGAUAGGGAUAGUUGGGGGUGCUAGUAUUCAGUGGCCAGAGGUGAAAUUCUCGGAUUCACUGAAGACUAACUUAUGCGAAAGCAUU
rnacentral:rRNA from 1 species